UUACGGGAUGCAGCAGUGAGGAAUAUUGCACAAUGGAGGAAACUCUGAUGCAGCAACGCCGCGUGGAGGAUGACGCAUUUCGGUGUGUAAACUCCUUUUAUAUGUCAAGAAAAUGACGGUAGCAUAUGAAUAAGCACCGGCUAACUCCGUGCCAGCAGCCGCGGUAAUACGGAGGGUGCAAGCGUUACUCGGAAUCACUGGGCGUAAAGGACGCGUAGGCGGGAUAUCAAGUCAGGUGUGAAAUCCUACAGCUUAACUGUAGAACUGCACUUGAAACUGGUAACCUAGAGUAUGGGAGGGGGAGAUGGAAUUAGUGGUGUAGGGGUAAAAUCCGUAGAUAUCACUAGGAAUACCUAAAGCGAAGGCGAUCUCCUGGAACAUAACUGACGCUAAGGCGUGAAAGCGUGGGGAGCAAACAGGAUUAGAUACCCGAGUAGUC
rnacentral:rRNA from 1 species